UUUAUACGCCGAAUAUUGGUCGCGUCGAAUGCAAUUAAUUAAGAUGAGAUGAUAAACCUCAUUAAGGACAUUAAGCUUCAUUAUCUAUUGUUUGAAUUGCAUUCGACGCGACCGAAAUUCGACGUAUAAA